AGUCCUCGGUGGCUUAGAGACAUGGUACAGCUGUUGUGAAGGUGUCGUUGGAUCUGCCGGCUGUCAGGUUGCCAAGCUUCACGUUCAUGACUGGAAAGAAAACAUAGAGGGCUUCAUGAAGACUUUCGUCAAGUGCCCACCCGCCGAUGGUAAUCCCGGUGUAUUUGCUGUGAAUUGUGAGGUGUGCUAUACAGCCAAAGGUUUGGAACUUAAGUGACUGUGGUUGAUCCCAGCCUCCAGGUGGUCUAUGAUACAUUUGUGAAACCAGAUGAAGAAGUCAUUGACUAUAACACCAGCUAAUUCAUACUUCAGUUGUGGACACGACAGUUCUGUUUCCUCAUUGGCUAGGCUUGCCUCACAAAAGAUCCCUCAAGAGUCUAGUGGCUGACCACCUGCAGAGGAUCAUUCAGGACAAUGGUAAGAGCCUGUUUGCUCCUGAUUAAUAUCAGGAUCCUAAGUCUGACUUGAGUAAACCAUGGGAUUCAUGGUAGAAGGUCUGCUCCAUGAAGGGCUUAAGGUAGGUUUUUCUGUAUGGAUUCUCUCCUAGGGUGGAGAACCCUAAAGCAUCUCGUUAUGUAAAAAGCACUGAAAUGCCCUCUGCCUGGUGUCAUCCUGGAUCUUCCACGGGCAUCAGAAUAACCAUUAUAGAGAAUGGUGGCCAGAUGUUUGUUCGGCAAAUUGCCUGGCCUUUGAGUUCAUGUAUAAAACUUCUGUGGGUGUGGAGAACUAAUUCCAGUCUAAAUUUAGCUGGGUACCCCUUUUCAUAUGAGCUUUGCAUCAAAUGAGAUUCCAGAAUUCACUGGGUUUGGGUCAUCUCACCCAGAGUAAAUUGUGUGUGUUGUGUUAGAAAAAGAAUAGUUCAAAUUCCAUAGAUUCAUCAUAUGUGCACUUGAUUUAUACUGGUUGUGUGUAUCUUGCUCUCAGAACAUCUGUUUUUUCUGAUGAAACACACCCAAAUUAAACAAGUUAAUCAGGUACAGCAAGAAUGGCUACCAGCCACCCCAUUAGUGGCAUUGCCCUAUGCACAGUUGAGCAGUGUCCGCCUUGGAAUGGAGGUGAGUUACUCUCUACAUUCAUGUGUGCCCGUGUGGGCUCCUCUUUUGCACAACAUAGAAGUCUAAGAAAAUCAAUUCUGUGUAUGUUAAAAUUUAUGUUACAGUGCUGUGUUUCUAAGGAUACCUAAGAUAUGGGAAGGCCCUCUGAUCAAAAUACCAACUGUACCGUAUGGUCUUUAUUCUUUCACUCUUUGUCUGUUAGACACUGCUGCUGUCUCGGUGGGUCUUCAUCUGUUUUGCUAAAAAUACAUCUCAAAAAAAUUCCUACAAAAUUCUAUUAUAAAAUGUAAUGUGUUCUGUUGAAAACCAUCUUGAACCUUAGGAAAAUAUUUCACUUCACAAAAAACAGCUUAUACAAACAUCUAAUACCCCAUUUUUUCCAGAAUAACACAAAUGAAAAAUACCAUACCAUUUUAGACAUGCUGAUCCUGUGAUUUUUCUCAUUUAAUCUCAGACAUCAUUUAUUAUUCUCACCAGAACUGUAGGCUUUAUAUUUUGGGUAAAUUUCAUGCACUUGUAUCUAAGGCCAUUCUUGGUGUAGAGACCUGUACUUUUUCUAGCACUCUCUAUUUUUGGCUUUUUGCCAGAUCUUUUACUAAUACCUGCUGCUUUGUUGUUCUGUGCAAAAGAGGUAUAUGGAGAAGGUGACAAUGUGAGGACAGGCUACAUAGGAAAAGGGAGAUGUUUGCUAAUCUAGACUUAUGUAUAAUCUCUACAAAGCAAUCAGAAUCAUAUUUUGGUAAGUGCCCAGUGUUAAUUUUUUAGACACAUGAACUCAAGGCUUCGUUUUGUGAACCGCCGUGGGUAGUAUCACGGAUGAAGUCAUUGUAGGUCUAACACGUUGUUUUAUAUUCUGUACCGUUUGGAGGUCACAGUUCAAGUGAAAGUGCUGCCGCCUGCAUGGAACUGGUUCUCUGGAAGGUAAAAGAAGACCUGAAAGGGAAGAAGUGAUCACUUUGAGCAGAUCUAAAAUCCCUGCAGUGUUGUUUCAGUGACGUCUCUCCUGCUGAUAGUAGAGUUGGGUCUAUGAUGGUAGGAAGUUUCUUGACCUUUUUCUUCAAAGAGGAGAAAGAAAAGUGCUGCUGAGGUUUAUUUAUUACAUGUUCAAGGUUAAGUUUCCACAGUUUAUUUCAGAAGUUGUGAGUGGGGUAGGGGGUGGUUAGUUGGGAGGAUUAAGUUGGUUUGAAUUUUCGACUCUUCCUCAUGGAUCGCUUGUGACAAUGGAUCGCGGUUUACAGUUGAAGCAGUGGGCCCGUGUCCUCCAUCAGGAUCAUGUCUCCAGUUACGUACAUUUCUUUUUCUCUCCAACUGCCGAAAACCAUCUUGACCUAACAGAAUUUUUUUUAGGUCUCCUAUAUAAAUAGAUUUUCCUCACAAAGUAAAUGUAAACUUUUUAGUGCACUCUGUUAACAUAAAGAUUUUGGUCAUUUGGCUAUUGUGUAAUGUGUUUUUAUUCUAACUGGUGUACUGUGACUGGAUUUUAAUUCAUAACAACUCAUUUUUUUUAAGGCAGUAGCCUCUGGAUCUUCUAAACACCCUAACCUGCAUUCCCAAUACCUGAAUUGUCUCAUUCUUUUGAGGAGUUAGCGCCAUCUUUCUUGCUUUCUCAAAAUGUGGAAACUACAUGACUUUUUCUGUUUGAUUACCCUUAAGUAUGACUCUUCAGUAUUGUUGCUGACAUGCUACAAAAUUACAAAGGUUUUACUGCCAGUAGAACAGGUGAGUCAGUGUAAUCAAUAGGAGGGCCUCUGGGCCGGAAGUACACCAGUCACCUUCUGACAGUUGCUUGUGCGGAUAUGCCCUCAAACGUACAUCAGUUUGUCUGCCUUCAUAUUGUCACUUACAAGUAACUUAAUGAUCCCUGAACAUCUUUUUCUUGCUGUCGCACGUACUUCUCAGCCAGGUCUCUUGUCAUGUACUUGAGGUGAAGUAAAAUAAUUCAAAUUUAGAUCAUUAUGAAUUUAAGUAAUAUAUAAUUAAGAAGGUCAGACUGUUAUAGGGAAAAAAACCCGACGUCUGUUCCAAAGGCAUAUGCAAAAUUUGAAGGUAUUCUUGGCAUUUUCAGGUCAUCUUUGUUCAGUUCCAUGUACUUUGAAACUAAGCACGGUCAGGAGUAUGUCUACAGCAUGUGGGUAAAAAGCCAAGGGAGCUAUUACAGGUAUCUGGGCCUGUGUUCAAGGGCUCUUCAUUGGGUUUCCAGCUGUUGAUUCAGGGUAUGCUAGCAGUCUUGCUUGUGCUGUGUCUACCUGAAUAUGCUGCUGUGAACAAAGGGCCUGCUAUCACUUCUGAAUACGUGAGGUGGAUUAAGGGGCAGGAAUAGGGAACUUUAUGCUGUAUGUUGACUGAUUUCACACUGUCCCAUUUAAGAGAGAUUCCAGUUCUAAGCCCUCAGUUGACACUGGAACACUACUGGAGGCACAGAAAGUAGACUAGACAGAACACUUCUCGAUGUUUCCAGUCCUGCGAGCUGGAACGAGCAUGUCUGGUAGAGUACCACACCCACUGCGCUAUGGGCAUCUUACCGACGGAGCUGGAGGACGGUAAGUUGAAAGACAUCUGGCAAGACCUAGGAGAAACAUUCCCAGACGAAAAACAGGGUGCAUGACGAAUCGUGACUCAAGAGCCUGCUCCGAACGCCAUGCUCACCUUGCGUUCUUCUAACAUCCUGUUUAAGGAC